AACGAACGCUGGCGGCAGGCUUAACACAUGCAAGUCGAGCGCCGUGGCAACACGGAGCGGCAGACGGGUGCGUAACGCGUGGGAACAUACCCUUUGGUUCGGAAUAACUCAGGGAGACUUGAGCUAAUACCGGAUAAGUGCGAGAGCAGAAAGAUUUAUCGCCGAAGGAUUGGCCCGCGUCUGAUUAGCUAGUUGGUGAGGUAACGGCUCACCAAGGCUACGAUCAGUAGCUGGUCUGAGAGGAUGAUCAGCCACACUGGGGACUGAGACACGGCCCAGACUCCUACGGGAGGCAGCAGUGGGGAAUAUUGGACAACGGGCGAAAGCCUGAUCCAGCCAUGCCGCGUGAGUGAUGAAGGCCUUAGGGUUGUAAAGCUCUUUUACCCGGGAAGAUAAUGACGGUACCGGGAGAAUAAGCCCC
rnacentral:rRNA from 1 species